rnacentral:rRNA from 1 species
AUUGAACGCUGGCGGCAGGCUUAACACAUGCAAGUCGAGCGAGCGGCGGACGGGUGAGUAAUGUCUGGGAAACUGCCCGAUAGAGGGGGAUAACUACUGGAAACGGUGUCUAAUACCGCAUACUAUCGGAUGAACCCAUAUGGGAUUAGCUAGUAGGUGAGGUAAAGGCUCACCAAGCCGACGAGCUCUAGCUGGUCUGAGAGGAUGACCAGCCACACUGGGACUGAGACACGGCCCAGACUCCUACGGGAGGCAGCAGUGGGGAAUAUUGCGCAAUGGGGGCAAGCCUGACGCAGCCAUGCCGCGUGAAUGAAGAAGGCCUUCGGGUUGUAAAGUUCUUUCAGUAGCGAGGCGUUAACGACAGAAGAAGCACCGGCUAACUCCGUGCCAGCAGCCGCGGUAAUUC